rnacentral:rRNA from 1 species
GGGGUGAGUAAUGCCUAGGAAUCUGCCUGGUAGUGGGGGACGAACGUUUCGAAAGGAACGCUAAUACCGCAUACGUCCUACGGGAGAAAGCAGGGGACCUUCGGGCCUUGCGCUAUCAGAUGAGCCUAGGUCGGAUUAGCUAGUUGGUGAGGUAAUGGCUCACCAAGGCGACGAUCCGUAACUGGUCUGAGAGGAUGAUCAGUCACACUGGAACUGAGACACGGUCCAGACUCCUACGGGAGGCAGCAGCA